CUUCUCCCUAUGAAUGAUAAAGUUUUUAAGUUAGCGCACGGCUCAUCAAAUGAGCCAUUCCCCUAAGCCCAGGACAAUGUGGAUUGGUCCUGGGCAAUUUUUA
rnacentral:sRNA from 1 species